UUCUGGCUCAGGAUGAACGCUGGCGGCGUGCCUAACACAUGCAAGUCGAACGAAGCAUAUCGGACGGAGAUUCGUCGAAGACUGGUAUGACUUAGUGGCGGACGGGUGAGUAAUGUAUGAGCAACCUGCCUUUCAGAGGGGGACAACAGUUGGAAACGACUGCUAAUACCGCGUAAUGUAAUGAAGGGGCAUCCCUUUAUUACCAAAGGAGCAAUCCGCUGAAAGAUGGGCUCAUAUCUGAUUAGCUUGUUGGCGGGGUAACGGCCCACCAAGGCGACGAUCAGUAGCCGGACUGAGAGGUUGAACGGCCACAUUGGGACUGAGAUACGGCCCAGACUCCUACGGGAGGCAGCAGUGGGGAAUAUUGGGCAAUGGGCGAAAGCCUGACCCAGCAACGCCGCGUGAAGGAAGAAGGUCUUCGGAUUGUAAACUUCUUUUAUGAGGGACGAAGGGCGUGACGGUACCUCAUGAAUAAGCCACGGCUAACUACGUGCCAGCCGCAGC
rnacentral:rRNA from 1 species